AAUUACUCCAUUUUGAAUAUUACUGAUUACACUCACUAAUUUCCUUUUUAGCUUUCCUAUUUUCCUUUAUUUUGCUGCAUCUCUUCACCCCAUCCCACUCCAAGCUUUACUUCGAGACCUUUCAUCUUCCGGAACUCUCCCGUUCCGUGACUCGGCAGUCGCCUCUCCAUUUUCACUCUAUGGGCCACAUAUUUUGGUAUACUUCUUUCUUUGCUGCUAUUUUAAUUAUUUUUAUUUUUAUAUUUGGGGCAAAUUGGUGACAGUGAUACUGCAAUGGAGCUGUGAGUUUAGUUAACUCAACCAUUCACUUUUAAAAAUUACUACUUAUUUAAGAAGAAAAGAAUCUGAUCACAUUCUUUUGAAACGACUUUCUGAUUUUCCUUAUUUGUUAUUCAGAAAACAGGGGAUUGUUUAGGGGUUUCAAUUGUAUACUUAUAUCUCUGAUUAGAGUGCUCUGACCCUUAAAUGCUUAUCUGGGUUUUGAAUAGUUCAAAUAUGUUGCUUCUAUUUAACGGAAGUUAGUGAGAUAAAGAGAAGUUGUGGGCUGAUAAAAUAUGACAAAUGAAACCUAACCAUUUUUGGUCUCAUGUUUGAAUGGGCAUUAGUUGGUUAUUGAAAUCAGUUUCUUCUCCUUUGUUUGUUAUGCAAUUCAAACAAAUUGACGUUGUUGAGAAUUAUUUAUAUUUUUCCAAGAAGUAUAAUGCUGCUGCAGCAACAACAACAACGACCCAAUAAAGUCCCACAAGUGGGGUCUGGGUAGGAUAGUGAUACACAUACCUAUUCGAUAGACCCUCGGCUCAAAAUAAGUAUAAUGCAAAUAUGAAAAUUCAUGUAUCAUAAAUGAAUGAGCAAACUACUUUUUGAGGUGAAUGCAGGUUGUUGAAAUCAAAAUGAGCUGCGAUGAUUGAUAAAUUUGUGCGUAUUGGUUCAUAGCUUUCAGCUCACAAAUUUGUAAAUUUUUCUUUUAUCUUUCAAAAACUUAAAUAGUUAGGAUUUAAUUUAGUCGGCUAGAUGUGUGAUUUCCCUAUUGAAAAAGAGGAUGUGUGUUUUGUUAUUGUCUUGUUGUUUGUGUUGUAGAUAGAGUGAGGCAUGAGUAAAAUAGGAUUUUUAAAUGAGUGUUUAAUUCAUUAUGCAGAGGUGAAGUAUUUGCUUGUCUAGUAAUGUGCUAUUAUCAUCGUUUCCAAAUGUGAAAAUUAAUAGAUGACAAUUGUGAAUUUUUUUUUUUGUUAUGGUAAUAUACAUGAUAACACUCAUUAAAUUUUUUCAUUGUCAACUUUUUUUUUUUUUUAAACGGAUGGUGGCAACUCUAUGUUAAUGGCGGUGGAGCAGCUAUUACCUUGAAAUCUUGGGUCUGACACUAGUUCGACCUUAGAAAUAUAAUCAAAACAUAAUAAGCAAUAAUAGAUUUGUUUCUUUGUAGGCUAGGAGAAUGCUAAGUGCAUAUUUGAGAAAAGAUUUUAAUAAUACACCCUGUAAUACUAUCAGUGCAGUUUAACCUGCGAACAAGUUAAUUAUCUUUUUUACCAAUUAAUGGUUAUCGUUCAGAUUUACUUAUAAUUAUCUUAUAAGUAGUUUGAUUGUAUGAAUAUAUAUCACAUUGUCACUGCAUAAAACUUAAACUCAUAGGAGAAAUAAUAGACUCGUUUGUACACAAGUGGACUGAAAAACAAAUGGCAUAAUCAAUUAAACCUCAUUUCUCCAAGAACUACGCAUUUCACUUUGUUAAUCCCCAUAUAUUUCUCCAUUACUUAUGUUAAAGAGCUAUUUAUUCUGAAGUAGUGUUAGGAGCUAAUCUAUGGGGAUAUCCAUUAUUUUCGAUAGCAAACUUGACCGUACUUUGAUGCCAAAUUGAAGAUUUAAAUAUUACGUUAUUAUUGCGGCCUUGGUCUACCGGUAAAAGUGCAAUUCCUCAAGUAGUGUUAGGAACAAAUAUGGGAUAUCCAUUCUUUUAGAUAGCAAACUUGACCCUACUUUGACCCCAAAUUGAAGAUGUAAAUAUUACGUAUUAUUACCCUCAGAGCCUUGGUCUACUGGUGAAAGAGUUAUGCCUCAUGUGUGGGUUACGCAUGUUAUAGGUUCGAAAUAUUUAAGAAGAAAUUUGUUGAAAUAUUUAAUUAUUAAAGCUCUUGACGCAAAUAGGGUGCUAUUCUCUGAACAGAAACAUUACAAACUCAAAAGCUCUGAAAUUAUUAUUGGAGUUUACAUUUUCUUAGUAAGAUGCAAAAUUCCUGUAUGUCUCACAAAUUCAAAAAGAAAACAAGUUAAGGUAAAGGGCUGCUUAAAUUCCGAUAACAACUUUGUACCAUUUUCUAGAUAAUUUAACUAAAAACUGGAGUUACAAUGUGCAAAAUUUUCAUUACUAAUAUUCAUUUUUGUGAUUUCCAAUUUCACGAGAAAAUUGUUAUAGCUAAUAGUUCAGGAAACAAAUUUAUAACUUUAGAAUUUUUGUGAUACAAGAAACAUAUCUAAAGUAUAUAUUCAAAGAACAAUAGAAAUAGAGAAAACAUUUCAUCCAUAAGUAGCUAACAUCUCCAAGUAGAAAAAUUCAACUUUAUGUUUUAUUUCAAAUACUACUGUAUUUUUCAAGAAUCAAAGUUCUAAUAUAUUUUUCCUAUUCGUGUGCACGCAAGUCAAAAUAGUUAACUUGUCACACACUACCGAGGAUCUAACAAUGUGAUUGUGACUUCAUUAUUUGUACUGGUUAUCUGCGAUCCUGAUUUUGCUUCAUCAAAUAUGUUUCUUUCUGUGAAAAAUCCUGGUUCUUUAGCUUUUGGCAGUAGACUCUCAUUAGCCAACAUCAGAACGACAGAAGACAUGCUUGGUCUAUCAUCUGGAUGUUGUUGCACGCAUAAUAAACCC
rnacentral:lncRNA from 1 species